AUUAUAAUACGGUUUGUAUUUCCGGAAAACCAUGAAGUAAUCAUCUUCAGUUUGGUUUUUAUUUUGAACAACAAACUAGUCUAUCGAGCUUGAAUUGCAUUGAUCAAUGGACUUAAGAGAGAAGUGAUCCUAUCAAACCGGAAUUCUUUCUGAAUUGAAAGAAUUGGCGUGAUCUUGAAAAUGACUUGGGCGUGCCCGAAAUAAAAAUUUGCAUAUAAUUGACAACAUCCAGAUACUGAAAUCGGUAUAUAAGCCGAGAAGUUUCGGGUCCAAAGCAUCAUUUGAUUCAGAUAGAUCAAAUAAAAUUUACAAGCAAAAUGUUCGCUAAAAUCAUCCUCAUUGCCUUCGCUCUCUUCGCAGUAGCAUUCGCUGCACCAGAACCAAGGCCUCAAUUUAUUGUUCCAGCCGCCACCGCUUACAGCGCAUACUCAGCACCUUUGGCCUACUCUCCUUACUCUGCUUUGCCUUACUCAGCUUACUCUGGUGUCUACCCAAGCGUUUAUGGAGCUGUCCAACCUGGAGCUGUGAUUGUUUGAAUGCCGAAUUGAAUUGUUACUGAUAUGUCUUAAGUUUUUACGAAAAUUAUGUUUCUUCCUAUGUAAAUUUUUUUUUGCGGAAUAAAUUCAUAAACACAA